AGUGAACGCUGGCGAUAGGCCUAACACAUGCAAGUCGAACGGCGGCACAGUAAGAGCUUGCUCUUACGGGUGGCGAGUGGCGGACGGGUGAGGAAUACAUCGGAAUCUACUUUUUCGUGGGGGAUAACGUAGGGAAACUUACGCUAAUACCGCGUACGACCUACGGGUGAAAGCAGGGGAUCUUCGGACCUUGCGCGAUUGAAUGAGCCGAUGUCGGAUUAGCUAGUUGGCGGGGUAAAGGCCCACCAAGGCGACGAUCCGUAGCUGGUCUGAGAGGAUGAUCAGCCACACUGGAACUGAGACACGGUCCAGACUCCUACGGGAGGCAGCAGUGGGGAAUAUUGGACAAUGGGCGCAAGCCUGAUCCAGCCAUACCGCGUGGGUGAAGAAGGCCUUCGGGUUGUAAAGCCCUUUUGUUGGGAAAGAAAAGCAGCAGGUUAAUACCCCGCUGUUCUGACGGUACCCAAAGAAUAAGCACCGGCUAACUUCGUG
rnacentral:rRNA from 1 species